rnacentral:rRNA from 1 species
GAUGAACGCUAGCGACAGGCUUAACACAUGCAAGUCGAGGGGAAACGACAUCGAAAGCUUGCUUUUGAUGGGCGUCGACCGGCGCACGGGUGAGUAACGCGUAUCCAACCUGCCCACCACUUGGGGAUAACCUUGCGAAAGUAAGACUAAUACCCAAUGAUAUCCCACGAAGGCAUCCGAAUGGGAUUAAAGAUUUAUCGGUGAUGGAUGGGGAUGCGUCUGAUUAGCUUGUUGGUGAGGUAACGGCUCACCAAGGCGACGAUCAGUAGGGGUUCUGAGAGGAAGGUCCCCCCACAUUGGAACUGAGACACGGUCCAAACUCCUACGGGAGGCAGCAGUGAGGAAUAUUGGUCAAUGGGCGAGAGCCUGAACCAGCCAAGUAGCGUGCAGGACGACGGCCCUAUGGGUUGUAAACUGCUUUUGUGCGGGAAUAAAGGAGCCUACGUGUAGGCUUUGCAUGUACCGUAACGAAUAAGCAUCGGCUAACUCCGUGCCAGCAGCC